CCUACGGGGGGCAGCAGUGAGGAAUAUUGGUCAAUGGCCGCAGGGCUGAACCAGCCAAGUCGCGUGAGGGAUGACGGCCCUACGGAUUGUAAACCUCUUUUGUCAGGGAGCAAAGCGCGCCACGUGUGGCUCUUUGCGAGUACCUGAAGAAAAAGCAUCGGCUAACUCCGUGCCAGCAGCCGCGGUAAUACGGAGGAUGCGAGCGUUAUCCGGAUUUAUUGGGUUUAAAGGGUGCGUAGGCGGGCGUUUAAGCCGGCGGUAAAAUUUCGGGGCUCAACCCCGGACUGCCGUCGAAACUGGGUGCCUUGAGUGGGCGAGAAGUAUGCGGAAGGCGUGGUGUAGCGGUGAAAUGCAUAGAUAUCACGCAGAACUCCGAUUGCGAAGGCAGCAUACCGGCGCGCUACUGACGCUGAGGCACGAAAGUGUGGGUAUCGAACAGGAUUAGAUACCCGUGUAGUC
rnacentral:rRNA from 1 species